GAUUUCUGGUUUGCUUCGCCUGGCCCGCCACGGUUACGUGUGUGAGUGCCGGUGUGGAGUUGCCAUCACUUCUAGGUUCGCAGUUCACUCUUCAUUGAGCUGGAUUGUGCAGUCUAGAUCUUUUACUUUGAAAAAAUUAGAGUGUUUCAAGCAGGCGUUUUGCUAUGAAUACAUUAGCAUGGAAUAAUAAUUUAGGACUUCCGUUCUAUUUUGUUGGUUUCGAGAGGGGAAGUAAUGAUCGAUAGGGAUAGUUGGGGGUGCUAGUAUUCAGCGGCCAGAGGUGAAAUUCUCGGAUUCGCUGAAGACUAACUUAUGCGAAAGCAUU
rnacentral:rRNA from 3 species